rnacentral:rRNA from 1 species
CUACGGGGCGCUCCAGUGAGGAAUUUUGCGCAAUGGGGGAAACCCUGACGCAGCAACGCCGCGUGAGUGAUGAAGGCUUUCGGGUCGUAAAGCUCUGUCAAGUGGGAAGAAUUUGUUCGGUGUUAACAUCAUCGGGCACUGACGGUACCACUGAAGGAAGCACCGGCUAACUCCGUGCCAGCAGCCGCGGUAAUACGGGGGGUGCGAGCGUUAUUCGGAUUCAUUGGGCGUAAAGGGCGCGUAGGCGGCCUGUUAAGUCAGAUGUGAAAGCCCGGGGCUCAACCUCGGAAGUGCAUUUGAUACUAUCAGGCUUGAGUAUGGGAGAGGGAAGUGGAAUUCCCGGUGUAGAGGUGAAAUUCGUAGAUAUCAGGAGGAACACCGGUGGCGAAGGCGACUUCCUGGACCAAUACUGACGCUGAGGCGCGAAGGCGUGGGGAGCAAACAGGAUUAGAUACCCCGGUAGUC